GUAAGUCUCUCUUCAGGGAUCACACCUUCUUUACAUGGUAAACCUCUCUUCAGGAUCACACCUUAUGCAUUUGGUAAGUCUCUCUUCAGGGAUAACACCUUCUUUCUAUACAUGGUGAGCCUUUCUUCAGGAUCAUGCCUUCUGUAUAUGGUAAGCCUCUCUUCAGGGUUCAUACCUUCUGCACAUGGUAAGCGUCUCUUCAGGGUCAUAUCUUCUGAAUGUUGUAAGGCUCAUUCCAGGGUUCACACAUUCUGUAUAUGGUAAGUCUCUCUUCAGGGAUCAUACCUUCUAUACAUGGUGAGCCUCUCUUCAGGACCAUGCCUUCUGAAUUUGGUAAGCCUCUCUUCAGGGUUCACACCUUCUGCACAUGGUAAGCCUCUCUUCAGGAUCAUACCUUCUGAAUAUGGUAAGACUCUAUUCAGGGUUCACACCUUCAGCAUAUGGUAAGUCUCUCUUUAGGGAUCACCCCUUCUGCACAUGGUAAGUCUCUCUUCAGGAUUAUAUAUUCUGCACAUGGUAAGUCUCUUUUCAGGCUCACACCUUCUGCACAUAGGAAGCCUCUCUUCAGGGAUAAUGCCUUCUGAACAUGCAGCUGUUGGAUAUGAGCACCUCCCAACCCAUCUUCUGACACAGAAAUAUUUCCCACUGAGUUCACCUGCUACCUGCUUCUUGUCUCCUUUUUUCUCUCCAUGCCCCAUCCCCAGAAGGAACUCUUUCUCUGGCUACUGGUUCAGCCACAAGUAGCAUUCUGGUGGCUACUGGCCCAGUGUGAGGAGCCUGAAAUCACACCUCCUAUUGCAUUAUGAGAGUCAGUGAACAGAGUAAUCCCUACAGUAGUGGCUAAGUCCUCCUCGGGGCUUGGUUCUCCUUUGAGGAAAUUGUCUCCCACUGGCUACCUAAGAGAACUGAUCGCUGGUCAACCCUCAACAUGUCCCUGUGGGGGUUCACUGACCACCAAUACCCUAGUGAAAGCUGUAGGUUGUCCAAAAAUCCUUUUUCUAUUAUGGGCAUUGCUUUAAUUACAGUGAAUUCAUGUUAUGGUGGACAUUAUGCCUUAUUCAGGUUACCCACUCCUGAAGAAACUGUCCUGAUCCUCCUCCUCCUUUAUUUCCUCCUCUUCCUCAGGCAAGUCCUAAGAUGCACUAAGAUAUGAUAACUCUGCCUAGAGAAUUCCCACUUGUGCUGCAAAGGCUGUCAGACUCUCUUUAUUUCUCUUCCUGGCCUGAAAGCAACUAGGACCAUAUGUGCCCUUCUUUGAGGAGCAACUGCAUCUUUCAGGCUUUGGACUAUUGUGGCUCUAGUGAAGGAGGGCACUGACUACAUUUAAAUGAGUAAGACUAGGGUAGGUGACCCUGAUGGAUCAUUGUGUCCAUACUGCUCAGCUGAGCCUACUAGGAUUGUGUCCAUACCACUCAGCAUCACAAGGUGCUGGGAUGUUCCAGCCUCUGGAGCAAGCCUUCUGCAAUGCCAAUCCAGUGUGCCUCUUCACAUGUCCAUCAGGGAUAAACUCCUUUUUCUCAAAUCUCUGGAUGAUUAGAACUGGCAAUCUGACCAUACUUAGAGUAAUCAGAAAGUUGCCAUUUAGGGAUAGGUCGGUUAAGGGACAUGGGUAGUUCUGUGGUCAGAAUCAAGUCAUUCCCUGCUCUACAUUAUACUCACUUAAAUUUUGUGUUUGUUUGUUUGUUUGUGUGUGUGUGUGUGUGUGUGUGUGUGUGUGUGUGUGUGUGUGUGUGUGCGUGUGUGUGUUCGUGUGUUUGCACACAUGCGUGCAUGUGCACGUGCGUGUAUCUGUGCCGUAUGUGUAAGUGAGGGCCUUGAAAACAAAGGUGGGGGCUAGGGGAGGAUGUCAGGUGUAUUCCUUUAUCACCCUCUACCUUUUCUUUUGAGUCAGGGUCAAUCAUUGAAUCUCAUGAGCUGGUUGGCCAGCAAGCUUCCAAAAGGUGGCUGUGUCACCCUACACCAAUGCUGUGGUCACAGCUACACAUGGCCAUCCCUAACUUUUAUGUGGAUGCUUGGUAUUUAAAACUAAGCACUGUUGUCUCCACAGCAAGCACUCUUUAACACUGAGCCCACUGCCCAGCAUGCUCAACUCUUUUUAAGGACUUUCCCUGGGUGCACAAGUAGGAACCCCACGGAGCAGAGCGAAGAUUAGAAUUGAAAAUCAAGAUGUCUGUGAGCACCUAGAGAACAAGAGCUGUGGCUCAUUAUCCCCAGGGCUUAAGCCCUGGUCAUUUCCUUAGGACACCAGCACAGUGGGUUGUAUUGCCAGGGCCAGGACCAAAGCAGAUGAGGCCCAUGUCUUCUGGUUGAUCAGACAUGGAAGGGUGGGGAAAUUUGGCUGCUGGGGUUGCAGAGCAAUGGGAAGGCAGGCACUGCAAGACUAUAACCCAUUACUCUCAAUGUCUCUCUUCAGGAGCCCAUGGGUCUGAGCACAUCCCACUUUGAGAUGGAGAGCUCCAGAAGCAGUCUGAUGAUUGCCCCAGUCCGGUUGUGGACUGGCUGUGUUGACUAAAACUUCAUAUACUAAAGCAUCAAUAUCCAAUGCGGUACUUUGGGAGACAUGCCCUUUAAGUCUGAGAUUACUUUUAUGUGAGGUUAUGGAGGUAGGAGGCUGAUCUGCU
rnacentral:lncRNA from 1 species